GCUGCAACUCGCCUACACGAAGCUGGAAUCGCCAGUAAUCGCGGAUCAGCACGCCGCGGUGAAUACGUUCCCGGGCCUUGUACACACCGCCCGUCACACCAUGAGAGUCUGUAACACCCAAAGCCGGUGGGAUAACCUUUAUAGGAGUCAGCCGUCUAAGGUAGGACAGAUGAUUAGGGUGAAGUCGUAACAAGGUACC
rnacentral:rRNA from 1 species